rnacentral:rRNA from 1 species
UACAGAGGUCCCAAGCGUUGUUCGGAUUCACUGGGCGUAAAGGGUGCGUAGGUGGCUUGGUAAGUUUGAUGUGAAAUCUCCGGGCUUAACCCGGAAAUGGCAUUGAAUACUAUUGAGCUGGAGGUUUGGAGGGGGACUGGAAUUCUCGGUGUAGCAGUGAAAUGCGUAGAUAUCGAGAGGAACACCAGUGGCGAAGGCGAGUCCCUGGACAACACCUGACACUGAGGCACGAAAGCUAGG